UACGUAGGGUGCGAGCGUUGUCCGGAAUUAUUGGGCGUAAAGGGCUCGUAGGCGGUUUGUCGCGUCGGGAGUGAAAUCCACUGGCUUAACUGGUGGCUUGCUUUCGAUACGGGCAGACUGGAGGUAUGCAGGGGAGAACGGAAUUCCUGGUGUAGCGGUGAAAUGCGCAGAUAUCAGGAGGAACACCGAUGGCGAAGGCAGGUCUCUGGGCAUUAACUGACGCUGAGGAGCGAAAGCAUGGGGAGCGAACAGG
rnacentral:rRNA from 1 species